ACUUUACAAUGUUUAUAUAUGCUUGAGAUAUUAAAUUUCAUUCUUUAUUUUUAUCUCCUAACUGCUGAAUAUACAACUUAAUCUGCAGCUAUCUGCACCAGCAUACAAGUCUUCAGCUCUUAAGCUUACUCUAUUUAUUAUAUUGCUAAUUGGACGUGUAACAAGCCAUAUGGCUCAACGAGGUUACCCUCCCAGCAGCAGCAGAUCUACUGGUUGAGUGCUUAGGAGAAGUAGCAUUGAAAUAUGCUUGGAAGAAGUCCUUAUUCUCUUUGAGCAACUCUUUCCAAACUGUAAGA
rnacentral:misc_RNA from 1 species